UUUUGAUCCCUAACUUUUGCAUGGACCGCUUUGUUUGAAGCUUUAAUCCAUCGGGACUGCCCCUGUUUUUGCCUAAGUCUCCUUUUAGGGUGUUGGACUUAGCGGGCUCUUUUUUGAUUUGAUUUUUUUUUUUUUUUGUGACUGCCAAGUCAUUGGUCAUUGAAGAACAACCGACAUAAAAUUUGGAUUUGUAUGGUUCCUUCGACACUUCAGGACGUGUG
rnacentral:lncRNA from 1 species